rnacentral:rRNA from 1 species
GACGAACGCUGGCGGCGUGCUUAACACAUGCAAGUCGAACGGAAAGGCCCUGCUUUUGUGGGGUGCUCGAGUGGCGAACGGGUGAGUAACACGUGAGUAACCUGCCCUUGACUUUGGGAUAACUUCAGGAAACUGGGGCUAAUACCGGAUAGGAGCUCCUGCUGCAUGGUGGGGGUUGGAAAGUUUCGGCGGUUGGGGAUGGACUCGCGGCUUACCAGCUUGUUGGUGGGGUAGUGGCUUACCAAGGCUUUGACGGGUAGCCGGCCUGAGAGGGUGACCGGCCACAUUGGGACUGAGAUACGGCCCAGAAUCCUACGGGAGGCAGCAGUGGGGAAUAUUGCACAAUGGGCGGAAGCCUGAUGCAGAAACGCCGCGUGCGGGAUGACGGCCUUCGGGUUGUAAACCGCUUUCGCCUGUGACGAAGCGUGAGUGACGGUAAUGGGUAAAGAAGCACCGGCUAACUACGUG